rnacentral:piRNA from 1 species
CAGAGGUCAAUUAUGGUGUCUCUACCACCUC